AUAUAUAUAAAGAAUCUUGAAGAUACCAAACCAAAUACUCCUUAGUUUCUUUCUUUAUACAAAAAAAAAGAAAAACUUUUAUGAGUUGUCUCUUCAUGCCAAGUUCGUGUGUGCGUGAAUGAGAGAAAAUUAGUCUACUUAUCUUUUAUUUGUGUUUUGUUCAUCCGAAUUGUGAGCUAAAAUUUUAGUCAUGGUGGCUAAUUCUUGGCUCACAUCUCUUGAUUGUUCUGUUUCUUCAAUCCAAUCUUUAGAUAAUUCAUCUUUUUUCUCUCUUGUCUUAACUUGGUUGAAGUUCAUUUUUCUUUCACCAUGUCCUCAGAGGAUUCUGUUAUCUUCUGUUGAUCUGUUUUUCUUGUUUGUAGUACUCUUAUUAGGGGUUAAAAAGCUGUAUUCAAGAUUUAUCAAGAAUGAAAAUUCUCUUGAUAAACCUCUUUUAGGUGAUGAAAGGCCUAAAUAUAGGGUUAGUUUUUGGUUCUAUGGAUCUUUGUUUGUUGUAGCUGUUUUAGCUAUAAGUUAUAGUGUUCUAUCCAUUUUAGCCUUUACUAAGGGUGUUCAAUCAGGAUGGGAAAUGGCAGAGGCUUGUUUCAGAUUGAUUCAUGCUGUAACUUAUCUUGCUAUUUUAAUUCUCAUUGUUCACGAGAAGAGAUUUGUUGCUGUUUCUCAUCCCAUCGCACUUCGAGUGUAUUGGGGGAUGAGUUGUGUGAUAGUGUUUCUAUUUGCUGUUACUGCUAUUGUUCGUCUUUUUUUUACUGGAAACGAUUUGGUGGUUUUGAGAAUGGAUGACAUAGUUGUGUUGGUUAGUAUUCCUUUGUAUGUGUAUCUUGUUGUUGUUUCGAUAAGAGGAUCCUCUGGGAUUUGUGAAGUGGGAAACGACGAUGAAUUAAUUUCAAUGGAUUCUAAUGUGAGUGGAUAUGGAACAGCUUCGCUGUUUUCUAAAGCAGUGUGGAAUUGGAUGAAUCCAAUCCUUAGUAAAGGAUACAAAUCCCCUUUGAAGUUGGAUGAAGUGCCUUCGCUCCCACCUAAUUUUCGAGCGGAAAAAAUGGAGGAAUUUUUCGAAAAGAAUUGGCCUAAGUCAGGUGAAAAUGUGAAGUAUCCUGUACUAACGACAUUGAUCCGCUGUUUCUGGAAAGAUCUUGUUAUAAUUAGUUUACUCGCAAUAGUGCAGUUGGUUGUUAUGUAUGUUGGACCAGUUCUUAUUCAAAGUUUCAUUAAGUUUACUUCUGGGGAUAGAUCAAAUCCUUAUGAGGGGUAUUAUCUAGUGUUGAUUCUAUUGAUUUCAAAAGUACUCGAAGUUCUUAGUUCACAUCACUUCAGUUUCCUAUCUGAGUUACUCGGAAUGAAGAUUCGAUCAUCCAUUAUCACUACUGUAUACAAGAAAGGGCUGAGAUUGACUUGUUCAUCUAGACAAGCUCAUGGUGUAGGACAAAUAGUGAAUUAUAUGGCGGUUGAUUCACAACAGCUAUCGGACAUGAUGUUACAGCUGCAUUCUUUAUGGAUGAUGCCAUUACAAAUUGCAGCUUCAUUACUCCUCAUGUACUAUUACUUGGGUGUUUCGAUGUUCGCUGCACUUAUUUUAAUAAUUGCAACUUUGAUCGGUACACUAUGGAUGUCGAGCAAAAGCAAUCAGUACCAAUACCACUUGACGAUAAAGCGUGAUUUAAGGAUGAAGGCAAUAAAUGAACUGUUAGGGAACAUGCGUGUCAUUAAGUUUCAGGCAUGGGAAGAACACUUCAAAGAAAAAAUUCUAUCUUUACGUAAUCAGGAAUUCAAAUGGCUUAGUAAGUUCAUAUACUUGCUUUCUUGCAACUUAUCGCUACUGUGGAGUAUGUCGCAGGUCAUAUCAGCGUUUACGUUUGGAGCUGCAAUCUUUUUCAAAAAUCCUUUAGAUGCUGCUACUGUAUUCACAGCAACAACAGUUUUCAGAAUUUUACAGGAUCCUAUCAGAACCUUCCCUCAGUCCCUUAUGACAAUUUCACAAGCCAUGGUAUCUCUAGGUAGGUUAGAUGGAUAUAUGACAAGCCGUGAAUUGGAUUCUGAUGUUGUCGAAAGACAACAAGGCUGUAAUGGCAGUAUUGCAGUGGAGGUUAAAGAUGGGAUUUUUUCAUGGGAAGAUGAUGGUGAUCAAAUUGUUCUGAAAGACAUAAAUCUUCAAGUUCGAAAGGGGGAACUUGCUGCAAUUGUUGGAAUGGUUGGAUCAGGAAAGUCUUCUUUGUUGGCAUCAAUGCUUGGUGAACUUCACAAAAUAUCGGGAGAGGUAAGAGUCUGUGGAAGCACUGCUUAUGUUGCCCAAACCUCAUGGAUACAAAACUCUACUAUCCAAGAGAACAUCUUGUUUGGUUCACCAAUGAACAACAAAAGAUACAAAGAUGUAUUACGGGUUUGUUCGUUGGAGAAGGACUUGGAAAUUCUGGAACAUGGAGACCAAACUGAGAUAGGAGAACGAGGAAUCAACCUCAGCGGAGGUCAGAAGCAGAGGAUACAACUCGCAAGAGCAGUAUAUCAGGAUCGUGAUAUCUAUCUUCUAGAUGAUAUAUUUAGCGCUGUUGAUGCUCAAACUGGAUCAGAAAUAUUUAAGGAAUGUGUAAGGGGAGCUUUGAAGGAUAAGACUGUUGUUCUUGUCACUCACCAAGUUGACUUCCUUCACAAUGCAGAUCUUAUAUUGGUGAUGAGAGAUGGUCAGAUUGUGCAGUCUGGGAAAUAUGAUGAGCUUUUAAAAUCGGGUAUGGAUUUUGGUGAUCUUGUUGCUGCACAUGAGAACUCAAUGGAGCUCGUGGAAAGUAGCACUGAAGCUUCUGGUGAAUGCCUCCCGCAAUCAUCACCAAAAUCACCUCAUCCACUAACCCCAAAGUCUCCCCAGAAAUCUCAAUUGGUAGCCAAUGGUGGAAGCAGUUCUUUAGACCAACAACCAAAGGGUAGUUCCAAGCUUAUCAAAGACGAAGAAAGAGAAACUGGUCAUGUCAAUUUUGAUGUCUACAAGCAGUACUUCACUGAGGCUUUUGGAUGGUGGGGAGUAGUAGCUGUAGUAAUAAUUUCUUUAUUUUGGCAAGCGGCCACUAUGGCGAGUGACUAUUGGCUGGCAUAUGAGACCUCAAAGAACCAUGCAUGGAAUCCUACUCUAUUUAUAGAUGUUUACUCAAUCAUAGCUGGCAUUUGUUGCAUUUUUGUGAUUGGCAGAUCAUAUCUUGUCGCAUAUUUGGGUCUCAGAACAGCUCAAAGCUUGUUCGAUCAAAUUAUCAAUAGCAUAUUGCAUGCUCCGAUGUCAUUCUUUGACACUACUCCAUCAGGAAGAAUAUUAAGUCGAGUAUCAACUGAUCAGGCAUAUGUUGACUUUAUGAUUCCAUUGUUUCUAAGUAUAGUGCUUCUGAUGUACUUUACAGUAAUUGGCAUGCUGUUUAUAACAUUCCAGAGUGCUUGGCCAACUAUCUUCCUGAUAGUACCCUUAAUCUGGCUGAAUUUCUGGUACCGGAGAUACUACAUUGCAUCCUCGCGUGAAUUAACUAGACUUGGUUCAAUCACCAAAGCUCCAAUCCUCCAUCACUUCUCUGAAACUGUAUCAGGUAUCAUGACUGUACGCUGCUUCGGGAAGGAAGAUAACUUCUUCCAAGGAAAUGUUGACAGAGUCAAUGCUAAUCUGCGGAUGGAUUUCCACAGCAAUGCAUCAAAUGAGUGGCUAGGUCUUCGCCUAGAGUUUAUUGGUAGUAUUUUGAUCUGCGUUGCCACUGUUUUCAUGGUCUUGCUGCCAAGCUUUGUUAUCCCACCAGAAUAUGUUGGCUUGGCACUAUCAUAUGGACUGCCUCUAAAUGGUGUACUCUUUUGGGCUGUAUACAUGAGCUGUAUGGUUGAGAACAGAAUGGUUUCAGUUGAAAGGAUAAAGCAGUUCAUAAGAAUACCAUCAGAAGCUUCAUGGAGGAUAGCAAAUUGUCUUCCAUCUGCAGAUUGGCCAUAUCGUGGCGAUAUUGAGAUCAAUAACUUGCAGGUUCGGUACAGGUUUAAUACACCACUGGUUCUGAAAGGAAUCUCUCUUAAAAUUAACGGAGGAGAUAAAAUUGGCAUUGUUGGCCGGACUGGAAGUGGGAAGUCCACUCUAAUACAAGUUUUCUUUAGGCUGGU
rnacentral:misc_RNA from 1 species